CACCAGUUGUAAUCUGACAGGACGGCAGGCCGAUGAAUUCAUGAACCAUUCCAUUUCAGGUGGUUAGCCUCAAGCUGGACUUCGUUUGAGCCCAUGAGAGCAUCAGUGAAAGCAAAAAGGUUGUCAGGAGGCAACCAUGGAUGUCCUGCCACUCAUCUCUCAGCUAGCUGGCUAGAGACUGGAGUGCUUCACGCACAAUGGCUGUAUGCAGGCUGUGGAGAGCAGGAAUCCCCGGCCUGACCAUAGUUCGUACAUAUUCUCCCUGAUGGAGGCUAGCCUGACAUUGACCUCACAUCAUGGUAGCUGGCAGCUCAACGUCGCUGUGCAAGGAGAACGACGGAGGUGGUUCA
rnacentral:lncRNA from 1 species